CUUUCUUCUCUUCUUCUUUCCAUGGCCUCCCAUUUGUUUCUUCAACUGCCCUGUUUCUCCUACCACACACAAACCUUUAAAUCCUCUACUGGAUGGAACUGGAAGCCUAGUUCAAGCGCAUUACUCGGUUCACAGUUCUACCAAAGGCUGCAGGGGAAUCGUUCACGGCAAAUAAGAGCAAUUUACUUGGAUUAUGGUUUGCUGGUUACUCUUCUACAAAGGGUAUAUCUCGAAGUCCGAUGUCAGCAGUUUCUUCUCCCCCUCCUUGUGAUCCCUCUGAUACUGGCAAUGAGGCUCUUUUACCCAAGGCGGAUUCUCCAGCAACCGAAUUCAAUCGGGUGAGUUGUCUUUGAAUUGAGAUGGGACAUUGACUAAUAUGAUUAAUAUGAUUCUUCAGGUAGCUGUUUAUGCUAUGUGGAAAACGGUUUUCGAAGUGGAGAUAUUGUUGUCUCAAGAACGUCAUAACAAUCCAUCCCCAGUUAGAAAGAUCUUGACUGCGGAGACAGAUUCGUUAGAGGAGUUCAUUGAAAGGCGGUUGAAAUUGAGACAUCCGGAAUUGGUACAAUGGUUCAGAAUGGUGGAACUUCCAAGGAUGACAGGUUUUUUCAUUCCAUUGUUAAAGAAAUGGUCAACGGAGUAUGCAGGAAGGUUUGCUCAAAAUACUCCUUUGCUUUCAACCAUAAGUACUUUUUCUUCCCUAGAGGAGUAUUGACACCCUCCCUACUUAUUAACUCCGUUGCUGGAAAGGGUAUAUAUCGGUGAAUGAUAAGGUUGGUUCUGUCGAUUCGGGGACUUCAUUUCCACGACCGAGGAAGUCGCUGAUGAUCGGAUAAAGUUUUCUUACUAUAUUCGUUGGUUUCUUGUUUGCUAAGUGAAAGGGAAAAAAAGGUUUCUAGAUUUUUUCUUGUCCUUAUGGUUGUCAAGGUUUUGCCUUGAUUAAUGUGGAUCU